rnacentral:lncRNA from 1 species
AGUGCUGCAGCUCCUCCUCCUCCUCCUCCUCUUCGGUCUGUCUGCUGCUGCUGCUCUGAGCUCGAGACCGCAGGAAGUUUCAGCAGCAGCUCAGUCGCGCGCGUGUUCUCUGCGCUCGCUCCACGCGGGGAUGAAUGGCAGGCAGGCAGGGUCUUUAGGGCUUGUCACCGUCGAUUCCGCCCGUUUUACCGGGAUGAAGAGAUCACGAGAUGGAGCGUGAGCGCGCUGUGUGGACCCUGACCUCACAGUUCUCUCCAGCGGUUCCCCCCGUGCGGUUUCGGGCGAAUGGCAAACGUGAAAGUGGCGAUUCGGGUUCGGCCCCUGAACUCCAGGGAGAGUGUGGAUGGAGGGAGGAUAGCUGUACAGGUGGAGGACAAAGUGGUGAAAGUGAAAAAUGUGAAGAACCUGCUAAUGGUCAUUAUUACUUGAUAGCUAUAACAACCAGUAGCAGAGGGAUGGACUUGGGUCACAUGAAAUUGGAGGAUUUAAGACUCCACUUGACAGAAUUAACAAGGUUUGUACAAAGGCAUACAUACAUAUGCAUAAACUUGUACUGAAGCAUUAUAACUCAAAAAAGAUUAAAAAGAAAAUCUAAAGACUCCAGACAAAAAGUAAAACUCAUGAAGAGGUGUCUUACUGUAGAUGACACUCCACACAGUUGCUUUCUUUUAUGUAAAGCUUAUCUUUCAGCUUAUCUGUUCUGACUCAGUACUCAACUUUAAGCUUGUCUGUACUAAAUCAGGACUCGAAUUUAAGCCUGUACCAACUCAAGACUUGGCUUGUUUCUUACUUACGACUCAACUUGGGACUUACCUAUACUGACUAAGAACUUGACUUAGGAUUGUACUGCAUUGGGACUUGGUGGUUAAGAUCUACAAUUAAUACAAAUAAUAGCUUUAUUAUCUAAUAAUAUCAAUAUUUAAAGCUUAGAUAUGCCCAAACGUGCUGCUAACUUGUGUGAAAAAAGUUUUUUCUAAAGUUUUUCCUUUUACUUGACUAUCAGUUUAAAAAUAUAUUUUGUUCUAAGCCUCA